rnacentral:rRNA from 1 species
GAUGAACGCUGGCGGCGUGCCUAAUACAUGCAAGUCGAGCGAACAGACGAGGAGCUUGCUCCUCUGACGUUAGCGGCGGACGGGUGAGUAACACGUGGAUAACCUACCUAUAAGACUGGGAUAACUUCGGGAAACCGGAGCUAAUACCGGAUAAUAUAUUGAACCGCAUGGUUCAAUAGUGAAAGACGGUUUUGCUGUCACUUAUAGAUGGAUCCGCGCCGCAUUAGCUAGUUGGUAAGGUAACGGCUUACCAAGGCAACGAUGCGUAGCCGACCUGAGAGGGUGAUCGGCCACACUGGAACUGAGACACGGUCCAGACUCCUACGGGAGGCAGCAGUAGGGAAUCUUCCGGAAUGGGCGAAAGCCUGACGGAGCAACGCCGCGUGAGUGAUGAAGGUCUUCGGAUCGUAAAACUCUGUUAUUAGGGAAGAACAAAUGUGUAAGUAACUAUGCACGUCUUGACGGUACCUAAUCAGAAAGCCACGGCCAACUACGU